rnacentral:rRNA from 1 species
AUGGCAGCACAUGGUGUGGUUACAGACAUCAAAGUUUUUCCAGAAAGGCAGUAUGCUUUUGUGGAGUUUGCAACCAUUGAAGGAGCUUCUAAUGCUAAGAAUCUUCUAGAUGGGCGUCUUUUCAAUAAGACAAGGAUUCAUGUUCUUUUCUCCAGUAGUGGGUUUGAUAACCUAAUUAACACCGCUUGUUGGGUUCCCUAG